rnacentral:rRNA from 1 species
UACGUAGGGGGCAAGCGUUAUCCGGAAUCAUUGGGCGUAAAGAGCGCGUAGGUGGCUUUAUAAGUCCGUUGUGAAAGUCAAAGGCUCAACCUUUGAAAGCCGAUGGAUACUGUGAAGCUAGAGUACGGAAGAGGCGAGUGGAAUUCCUGGUGUAGCGGUGGAAUGCGCAGAUAUCAGGAGGAACACCAAUAGCGAAGGCAGCUCGCUGGGACGUUUCUGACACUGAGGCGCGAAAGCGUGGGGAGCGAACAGG